ACGUACAAUCUGAUCUGUCAGUCUGUCACCAUCAGCUGUUUUCUUUACUCAUUUAUCUAAUUGUCUACUUGAAAUCUGUGACUUGAUACUAGACUUUUAAAAUCGCUGUAGCCCGACAAUUAAAUUAAACCUGAUCUUUCUUCCCCUACCACUUUGUUAAUCACCCCCCCCCCACAACUGAUGAUUGUCAGUACUGCCAAAUGUUUUUGGUUAUGUUUUGAUGGUGUUUUCAUUAUCAAGUAAGAAAUGAACUGUAAUUACCGAAAAUAAUUAAUAACGUAAAGAAAUAAUUCAAAAACAAUAAUUGUAGUGUCAGUUGUUGUGUUGUAAGGUAAAUAAACGCGUCUCCACGAUCAGCUGAUCGGCUUCUCGGAUUAUUGCCUGUGAAGGUGGCGCAAUUGUUGGAAAGCAGUGAAAGCACGUGUAUUUCAUUUGUCGAGUGUGUCGAGCUACACGUCAUUUUCAAAGGGGAAGUUUUAAGAAGUCUCUUGAUCUAGGUUCACGAAAGCGAGAAAAAUCAUGCCAACAAGAUUUGAAGACAUUCUAAAGGACUUGAAAUUAGACUCUAAGGAUAGACAAAUACUUGAAUUGUGCCAUAAGCAUGAGUUGGAGUUGGAGUUACUAAAAAAAGGCAAUGAGUUGGAGUUACUAAAAAAAGACCAUGAGCACCAACUUGAUAAGCUGAAAACAGAACUUUCAGCUGCCAACUGGGAAAACUUAAAACAUUUGAAACUCGUGCAAGUAAGAAGUUUCAUUGACUCGUUCGAUAAUGUCAAAAAGUUGGAUCAAAAUAUUUCAAGAAAAGUUAGAUUUACAAAAUUUGCUAAGGAGAAUGAAGACCGAUUGAAGUCAUGGAACUUAUCAACUGAAUCUUUUUGUCAAAUCUUUCAACACUUGUACGUCAAAUUGUGCGACUCCGCUCACCCUGUAUUCACCACUGAAGACACACUGGAAAUAGGGGGGUCGCACCUGGAAGAUAAAGAAAUUCGAAUAAUCGGAUUUUUAUGGGAAAUGUACCCACUGCCGCCAGGAAAAUUAUUAAUUAGAAUAAUGGAUAAAUCAGAAAGUGUUGAAGUUAUGAAAAUAAAAACCGAAUUAUAGAGAUAUAAGGUUUUUCAUGUGAUUCAAAAAAUUAUUCAUUACCUAUUUAGUAAAAAAAAAGGAUUAUUAAUUUAUUAUAGUUUCCAAUUGAUUUAUUAUUAAUAAUUGACAACGAAAAGGAUUAAUAUCCAAACGGUAUUGUGUCAAAGUUUUUUAGAAUAACUCUCUUAUCAUAAACAACACCAAAUUCUUUUGUUUCUAUUUUAUUUAAAAGUUCUUUAGUUUUAGUAUCUCUGGUAAUUCGAUUAUACUGUGGGUGGUGUUAGAAAGUAUGGUGCUCCAACUCCCUUCAUUUGUUUUAAACUGGAACGAACUGACGAGGUCGGGAACCAUUUCAUACAUUGGCCAUUAGAUAGCGCUUUUUGAAUUUGAUGUAAAGGUAUCCUUAUUACCGAUCACAAUUUUGAAUUUCAAAAAUGCUUCAAAUUUGAUUUCAGUGACAGUAGCAUUUUGGCAGAUAAGAUUCAAUUUACUGAAAAAAGGAAGAUAGUGAUACUAUUAUCGGUCUUUAAUUGAGUGACGGGCACAUCAAACUGAUAUUUUGUGAUGAUUUGUGUUUUCAGUGUAAUUUUAAUACACUUGUGUAUGUAAAAUUUUCACAAGAAGUGGCUCCCAAAGACAAGUUCACACACUUACAUACGUAAGAGACUUACACCCAAUUGUAAUUAAUUUCUUCCUGUAGUUUUGAAUAAAAAUAUUAAUAACUUUAUUAAUUACUAUGAUUUCUUAUUUUAUACGAAAUUACUACGAAGAAAUAUAAAAAUAAAACAACCCUGGCCUUUUGAAGUAAGUUAUUAAAACAGAUUUCAUAUUUAUAGUAAUUGCUAUUAAAAUAUAAUUAUGUAUAGAGUUGUCUGCUAUCAUUUGUAAGUGAAGUUGUGUAGAAGUCAUAGUCAAAAGUUGCAGCAGAGAAGUUUAUUAAAGGUUUGCAAAAUGCCUAAAACAUGCUGCAUAUGUUUAUCUUCAAAAGGAGAAAGUAAAAACUCAACAUUCUUCCCUAUCCCGAGAGUAUAAAUUAGAAGGUGUUUAUUAUUUUGAAAUGUUAUGUCCUUUGUAGAGCAAUGAAGACUUAAAAAAGUGGGAAUAUAUUUUAAAACGAGAAAUCCCCACAGUAGGAUAUAUUUGUCAUCAACACUUUGAUGAAAAUUAUUUAAUACGACAAGCACGGAGGAUUAUGCUUAAUAAACAAAAAAUUUAUUCGUAAGUCAAAAGUAUUAGAAUUCCAAAUAAAAUUAUUGAUCAUUCUUAAAAAAAUACUGUAAUUAAGCUCAUCAUUUAAUCAAUACAUUUACUUGGAAGCUUAUAUAUUUUCAAUAAAUCUUUAUUACAUUUUAAAACCUUUUAUAUCUCCUUAAAGUGUUGAAUUAGAGUUUCAAAGUUAUACACCAGUCGUCCGUGAUGGUGAUGAACACCAUGGUGAACAUGUUAAAAACACAACAGAGUAUAAUCAAUUUUCCAAUCCUCCUGCAUUGUCUAACAUUCAAGUGAUAACAGAUAGUAAUUCAAAUAUUUGUGGUAC